UACGUAGGGGGCAAGCGGUUGUCCGGAAUCAUUGGGCGUAAAGCGCGCGAGUAGGCGGCUCGAUCAGUCGUGCUGUGAAAGUCAAAGGCUACAACCUUUGAAUGCCGGUGGAUACUGUCGAGCUAGAGUCCGGAAGAGGCGAGUGGAAUCCUGGUGUAGCGGUGGAAUGCGCAGAUAUCAGGAGGAACACCAACGGCGAAGGCAGCUCGCUGGGACGGUACUGACGCUAAGGCGCGAAAGCGAUGGGGAGCGAACGAGG
rnacentral:rRNA from 1 species